UAUUCUUCCGUACGAUAUAGAAGUGUAUUUUACUGUACAAGACUGUAUUGCAUGUUGCUUACCUGCUGGGCUGGAGAAGAUGAAGCAGAGAGGGUAGGAUAUACGUCCAUCGUCGUGAUGGUACUUAUAACUGUACACCACAUAUGUUUCUGGUGCUAAGGUCCACUUCUUUUUCAUACAUAACCCAACAUCUAUUAUCAUUUUUUUCUUCAAAGGAUAUCUGGGCUGUCUCUCUGGGAGUUCGUCCUUCAGGUCGUCAAGAGAAAUGUCCUGGAAGUUAGCAAACAAGCGUUCUUAUAAUCCUCACUUUAAUACAGAUGGCUGGCUGCUGGCUCUCAGCUUUCAGAGAAGAUCCUUAGAGAUUAAGCCGAGAGGCGAGGAAUGAAACUUGCAGCCUGGCACAAGUGGCACAGGAAGUGCACAAGGAGGAGGAAGAAAAACCUCAAAGAGGAACCACCAUCAGCAUUUAGGCCAGAAAUAGGAGGCUAGAAAUGCAAGUCAGCUUUAUUUCACACCAGGAACUACUAGCACAAGCAGCUAGACCGGAAACAGCCUUUUGAUAAAUACUAAUGCCGGGCGCCGAAAAGUUGCUCUUUUACCCACAGAUCAAAUCAUGACGGCACGGAGGCAAGAUUGCAGAAAAACUACUUGUAAAACUCGAUCGUGUUGAAACAUGUUCCGUCAAGCUCUUUUACACACACACCGGAAACCGGCUAGAAAAGCCUUCAUCAUAACAUCUAAAGCCACAUUUCUCACUUGCGAAUGAAAACACAAAUACAAAAUAUCAAUUAGUAUUUAAUAUUGAAAGUGUACACCGUUUGGAAUUGUUUUGCCAUCAAUUACGUUUAUUUGACCGUGAAUUGGCUUUUAUUUUGAUAUCCCCAACCGGAACACCACUGCCACUAAACUUCACAGCUUCACGCUGGAGGGUGGAACUCAUGCUAAAGGCUACCAAGCUAAGGCUAGCCAAUCGUAAAUACUGUUCUUUGUCUCUCUCGAUCGCCCCUAAAACG